CAGCGGCUCGAGCUGGAGAGUACUAAAUACGAACAACAACAAAGCACUGAGUAUGAGAAGUCUGCAUCAGGUGUAUGUUCUCUUUGCCAUUUACUGCCUUUAUACAAUUCCAGCAAGUUCAGGUUAUCCGCUGCCCUACACAGCCUAUUCAGACCACCUUCCUUUAAGCGAGAGAUUGGCUUUAUGUUACAGUCAGCAGACAUCACAUACAAAUCAGCCAGAGGUAAUUAAAUUCCUCUUUCAUAAG